rnacentral:rRNA from 1 species
CGCGGGAGGGGGUGUAGGACGCGGGGUGGGGAAGAGAGGAGGGGAGGGGAAUAGCAGUAGUGGCUGCUGGAGUAGCGGAAGGGGAGCGAGGUCUAGCUCGUCGUCCAGGCCUAGGUGCUGGUUCCGCCGCGCUCGCGGGGCUACACGUCCAAGUUCGGCGCACUUCUCCCACGAGCAACGCCGAGAUUGGGACCACGGUUGCGGUACUUCUUCCUCUUGUAGAGAGGACAAGCACUUCGUAGGGGUUGGGAUCGGGAAGAAAAGGGUACUGCUGGCUCGUCUGUCCUCCAUGAUUAGGGAGGUGAAUAGACCAAAAGAAGUGGGGAAUACACUACGCACGGUAGAUGAAAACACGUACAAAGUACCUCUCCUCUUCGACGAAGUUAGGGUAGACGACUUCCUCCUACGGGUGGUAGGUUCCACGAGUUGUAGUAGUGGUAAUCAACGGACGGUUCGAAUGUCCGUACCUUUCUUUUAUCCUAUUUGCUAUAUGAACGUCGAAGUCCGUCGUAACUCAACCGACGUGUAUCAAUCAAGGGAUCCCUUACAAGUCAGACCACUUUGUACAAUUUUUCUUCCUACCCUUAGACGGACACAAGUGAUGAUUCUUACCAUCCAGUGACUUCUAACAUGUCAACAGACCACUUUGUACAAUUUUUCUUCAUACCUUUAGACGGACACAAGUAAUGAUUCUUACCGAACUAUCCAACCUUUUACAGAAGUUCUACUAUUCUCCUAUGUCAUGGUGUUGCAUAUGUACAAUCUACGAUAUUCCUGACUCGCGAGGUCCACGCCUCCUAUCAAGAAGGCUAAUUAGCAGCACAACUCCGUUCACGUGCUGCCUGGAAAAGAGGCAUAUGAAGUGACACAACAACUGCAGAUACUUUUACUCAACUCAUCAGACUAAUCUCCUACUGCCUCCUGCAGCUCUAAAACUAGGUCGUCGGAACGGGGGAAGAGCAAGCCGCACUGUGGACGUCCUCCAAUGCAAGCUCUAGAAGUCUUAAAAAUCCACAAACUAUGUCAAGAGGAUUUUUCCCUCUUCAGACACUCCACUAAAGAAGAAAACGUACUAUCUACCUUGGUCGACGCGGGGAGAGGGUUCUCGACGUCUAGGUACCGUCGUCGUCGCUCUCCCUCGUCCGAGUAUGAAACACGUCUUUCCCUUUUAUUUGUAGUUACAAGACUUCGUUCCGUGAUAACUCGAAACGGUGACACUAAGGUUUGAUGUAAAAACAAGAAGUUUCACGUGGAUACUAAACGACGACCAUUGUCUACGAGUUUACCAGCUCGUACAUACCUCAGUGAACGUCCUGUGAGCUCCUUCUCGACCAACUACGGCGCGAGUUAAGACUUUGAUAUCGUCUCGAACAGUGACAUACAAAGUACAUAAAGAAAAGGAACGAAGUAGAUUUAAACAUCGAGUGUCAAAAGAUAUAAUCACUUUAAAGGUUCGAUACGAUACGAGUCUAUCAACAAGACCUUAUAUACGAUGGAAUAAUGAAGUAUAUGAUGAUGAUGUACAUAACCUAGAGUUAAACAUCGGCACGAACGGUCGACGAGGAGGGAGGCGGAGACCGACGCCGCUGGUCGAUCCCAAGUCGCCAGCGACGGUUUGGUCUAUCGUACGAAAUAUACCAAACUAAUUACAUCGCAGAAAGAAGAUUAAGUCUAAUAAUAUAACUGAGAUUUUGAAACAAGGACUGAUGCAUACAAUGAAAGAAGUCAAGGACAAUAACAAGCAGAGAGUGGUCGAUACCCUUUCUACUACAAAAGAAAGAACGUUUAAACAGUCUUCUCGUGGAUACAAUCGAUUACUAACAGACGCUGUUUAAACAGAAUCCUUUUUUCGUAAGAAGACUGUCUUGACGUACCAGAGUCAAGUGAUUUGACUUUUCCUGAAUUAUUUGUUUCAUGACUUACGUCGCUAAUGUCAAAGUUGGACUGUAAUAGUAUAUUGGAACGAAGAGUACCUAGAGGGCUGUAAACGGAUUUGUUACCAAUCAUAUGAUUUUUUAGUUGAUGACAAUGCCUCUAGACUUGGACUUUAACGGGAUACCCCAUAAUUGUGAAUUUAUAGCACGUGUUAGUACAUGUGAUUUACAAACCUAUUCUUCAUCCUACAAGAACAAAUUGUAUCAAAUGACGUCGUUUAUGAAACAUACACGAAGGUCUCAAGAGAACGAACGGCGAAUACAACGUAGGAAGACCUUGGAUCGUCGUUUGACGACCUCCAUUACAUUCCAGGAGGGAAGGUAACGGACCAAACGACGGUUACGAGUGAUUAAAAAAUGUAAAGAAGGUACCGUGUUUCAGGAGGUCGUCAAAACUAUACAUCGACGAAGAAGAUGGCUACAAUAAGACCGUAAUCCUUGAUGAGCGGAUAUUUAAAAAAGAGACGUUUAAUUUAUGUGUACGUAUUAGACAUAAAAUAAUAGACGUUAAGACCAAACAAAAUAUCAUAACCAACUCAAGGUGAAAUAAUAGGUUCUUGAAUAGAUAAAGAAACUAAAAGGACUUAUGUGUCAUUCCGGAUGAGUACAAGAAAAUAACCUCGGUAUUAAACUAACUUGGUAUGACUCAAAUGUUCAUUAAAGAUAAAACUGUAGAUAUGUAAAAUAAACGAAGUACAAGAACUAACUCUACUCUCUCCUCCUUGUAGCCGAUAAAUCGAUCCUUUAGUGUAGAGUCUGUUUUGUAGGUGUAAACAACAUACUCAGUUUCGGUAUGUCUUAUGAAGGUUCCUCCUUCGUUGUAUACACAAAAUAAAAGCGAACGAAUCGGGUUAGAGAAAAUAAGUGUUUCCUUAAUUGACUAUAAGGGAAAACAAGACGUCGACCUUAAGUCUUUAAAGUUCACGAAAACACUAAUGUUACACCGAUCUGGAACUCCUAAAAAAAGCCUAAAAGAUUGUCCUUCAAUGGAGAUUUUUUACAAAAGUACGAACGACUAUUUUACCAUACAAUAUACUAAUUUUGAAUUAUAAGGGAAGCGAAGUAAUGAAGGUAACUAGAUUGUGCUACUUUCAUAUCUCUAUGUAACCGUGUGGUAGUGUAAGGUAUCAGUAUGACCAUUAUAGUAGUAGAGAAUAACUAUAUGAACUACUAUUAACGCACUCAAUGUGUUAUAACAGUCUUAAUAGCGAUUAGAAGUCGACAAUGGUUCAUUAGUCUCUCUCGUUCUUGAACUGUCCUUGUAGUUCUAUACGCUCACAUCUGUGAGUAGAACCUUAACCCUACUAUGUCUUAGAGGACCUAUACACGACUACAUGAAGAAUUCUCCUUCAGCAACUUGUAAUGGUGUGUACUACACCGCCGACGACACUGAGUACCACGAGACCCGCGUGUUGGAAGCGGACGAGUGGGCCCCGAAGAAGGUGCUACGGGCACUCUACCUGUACCCGACGUAACUCCUGAUGAUGCUACCGCUCGUCUCGUUCAUGCCGGACCGUUCGGAACUGCUACCGCGCCUACUCGUCGACGAGACGUCGCCGUUCAUAGCACUGACGUUAUCUUGCUGUACAACCUCUCCACGAUCUAUAUCACAAUUCUAACGAACAAAUCAACUACAGCUGCCACAAAGUUUUGGCUCAAUGAUGACAGUAAGAAAUUCUCUCGUUAGUAUUUGGGCCUUCCUAUUAUAAGACGUCCAUACAUGAGGAUUAUACUACAAUAUUAAGCUACACUCGCUUCCCGUUAAGCGAGUUCAAGACUAGACACUUUAUCUACGGUAGCCCUUCCACUACGGAAGUUAAGUAGUACAAGAAACGCACGGAUUAAUACGAGAGUAGGAGAAAACAACAUAAGUGUCACAAAAAAGACCGGUUACCGAACACUUAGAAGCGUUCUCCUAAUAGUCGGGG